rnacentral:rRNA from 1 species
CAGCCGCCACGGGAAUACGUAGGGUGCAAGCGUUAAUCGGAAUUACUGGGCGUAAAGCGUGCGCAGGCGGUUAUAUAAGUCAGAUGUGAAAUCCCCGGGCUCAACCUGGGAACUGCAUUUGAGACUGUAUGGCUAGAGUGUGUCAGAGGGGGGUAGAAUUCCACGUGUAGCAGUGAAAUGCGUAGAUAUGUGGAGGAACACCGAUGGCGAAGGCAGCCCCCUGGGCUAAGAUUGACGCUCAUGCACGAAAGCGUGGGGAGCAAACAGGAUUAGAUACCCGAGUAGUCCCUGUCUCUUAUAC